rnacentral:rRNA from 1 species
UGGGGAAUAUUGGACAAUGGGCGAAAGCCUGAUCCAGCCAUGCCGCGUGUGUGAAGAAGGUCUUCGGAUUGUAAAGCACUUUAAGUUGGGAGGAAGGGCAGUAAGCGAAUACCUUGCUGUUUUGACGUUACCGACAGAAUAAGCACCGGCUAACUCUGUGCCAGCAGCCGCGGUAAUACAGAGGGUGCAAGCGUUAAUCGGAAUUACUGGGCGUAAAGCGCGCGUAGGUGGUUCGUUAAGUUGAAUGUGAAAGCCCCGGGCUCAACCUGGGAACUGCCUCCAAAACUGGCGAGCUCGAGUAGGGCAGAGGGUGGUGGAAUUUCCUGUGUAGCGGUGAAAUGCGUAGAUAUAGGAAGGAACACCAGUGGCGAAGGCGACCACCUGGGCUCAUACUGACACUGAGGUGCGAAAGCGUGGGGAGCAAACAGG